AGUUUGAUCCUGGCUCAGGAUGAACGCUAGCGGCAGGCUUAAUACAUGCAAGUCGAGGGGCGGCAUGGUGUAGCAAUACACUGAUGGCGACCGGCAAACGGGUGCGGAACACGUACAGAACCUUCCUUCGAGCGGGGAAUAGCCCAGAGAAAUUUGGAUUAAUACCCCAUAGUAUAUUGGAGUGGCAUCACUUUAGUAUUAAAGAUUUAUCACUUGAAGAUGGCUGUGCGGCUGAUUAGGUAGUUGGCGGGGUAACGGCCCACCAAGCCUGCGAUCAGUAACUGGUGUGAGAGCACGACCAGUCACACGGGCACUGAGACACGGGCCCGACUCCUACGGGAGGCAGCAGUAAGGAAUAUUGGUCAAUGGACGAAAGUCUGAACCAGCCAUGCCGCGUGGAGGAUGAAGGUCCUCUGGAUUGUAAACUUCUUUUAUAUGGGACGAAAAAGGGCUUUCUAGCUCGUCUGACGGUACCAUAUGAAUAAGCACCGGCUAACUCCGUG
rnacentral:rRNA from 1 species